ensembl:lncRNA
UGAAGCAUUAAUAAAUUUUUAUUUCAGGUAAAACAUUAAACAACAUUUACAGAAGGACAUUACAUCUUCCAUAAUAACAUUACAUACAGCUCGUAACAAAUAAUGCAACAGCUACUCUACUGUAUACUAUAAUAUUUCACUGGAUGAAGUGACUGACACUUCUGUUUUCCAAACCACUUGUGAAAAUGACGUAUUUUCAGUGCAGCAUACAAAAAGAAAAAUCCAAACGUGAAGAGAAGCUUUACAGAAAAAAGUUGCAAACACAGACUCAUCGUUGAGCACGGCGAGGAUGCACGUUGGCUCCAACCUAUAUGUUUUUCCUAUUCGUACGACUUCUGCCCACACCACAAAGACUGUCAAAAAUAGAUGCCUUAUAUUUAUACUCAUCAUAUAUGUACAGUCAUAUAUGACGUCUCUUUAACAGCAUUAAGGGGACACUUGUAACCCUGUAUACAAACAUAGUGGAAGCGUCACUUUUUCACUCCAGCGACGAUGAAAAAGCACUACGUUAUCAAUCUCUCUUUCUUCUCUGUCACAGUGCUAAAUGUGCAAUUCCGACUAGUCGUUCCUUCACUGGGCUCUACGUGAAAGAUAUGAAGCACAUUCAAGUUAAAACAGAGCUUGAACUCUGCCUGCACAGGACUCAAAAAUAUACGUUUUUUACAAGACUCCAGGCUCUCGAGCCUAAAAGAAGAGCAUUGGGGCGUGGGGGUUGGGCUGAAUGAAUGAAUAUGAGCCACACUGAAAGUGUGCACACAAGGAGAAACAUAGCAAAAAUAAUUAUUCAGCUGCUAAUACUGCCUGCAAUCCCUUAAAGCCAAGCGAGGCUGGGCAAUCUUAGCACAGCUCGAUGGUAUUAACCCUCCUCUGUCACGCUGCUUUACUGGCAUUACCCACCGCCUUGCCUCCCCUUUUUUCGUGCCGCACAAUCACAGCCCGGGGAUGACACUGAAAAGCCGCGAGAUAACUCAGAGUACAGCACUUCCACGAGUUCUCCCCUAUCUGCAAUAAAAGUUAAAACCAAGGGACAAUAUUUACAUUUGUGAGGAAGGCUGGUUUGAGCAAAGCAAGGGUAUAUAUAUACUUAUAUUCAUAUAUUAAUCAUUAAGGGCAAAGCCAGUGCAUAACAGAAGAACACAGGCAUUCCAAACCAGUGGCCCACAGCCGUACGUACUGUAAUAACUGAAGUAGCCAACUGGAAAAGCUUCAUGCUAGCUACAGCUGAGCUUUGGUUCACCACAUGGUUGGCAUAAAGAAGAGGGAUUAUUAAAUUAUGUAAGCACUGUAUGGAAGAAAGACAUGAAAACAGUCUGCAAAAUCAGCCGAGAGAGUGCACGUAGGGGUUGCAGGGUUUUCUAGAUGCCAGGUCUAGAUGGCUGUGAAGAAAUAAUCUGGCAGGCAAGACAUCUCUAUUAUGUGUGUUUGAGAGGCUGUGGAGUCACAUUAGAAGCAUCCACGGUUUCCAUUCGUCCAUGGCUUCAGAUUUUUGGCUAAUCAACAGUGCAGGGCCAAUAUUAUUGUUUCAGUCGCUUUCAAACGGACUGGUAAAGAGGAAGCCAUUGUAUCGGUAGCACUUCACAUCAUCACCACACAUCUAAGCUGAAAUAUUCAGAUAUUUGCACACAAAACAACAAAAGAAAGACAAAAACCCAGUAGAAGAUCUUUGCAGAUGACAGCAUACAGCUCACCUUCAUCACUGUGUCAUAAAAUGUUCCAAAGCACGGGCACACAGUUUGGGAAUGUCUCUGCUUGAGAGCACAUGUUGGUGUUAUAGGGACUGAUCAGAGUUAAUCACCACCUCCUACUAUGUGUAUCUACUCCACACACACACACACACACACACACACACACUACAAAUCAGUCAUUCAAAUUUUUCAGAGAAAAGAAAUUCCAGAUCUGUAACGUAGAAGCUUAAAAAUAACUCGGUGACUCAGAUCGUCUGUGUCCGAGAGGAUAUUGCAGAUUCUUUGUUAGUAACAGUAAAAGUGAAAAGGAGGAUUGUCGAGGGCAGGAUCAGAUAACAGGCCACGCUGCCUGUGCCUUUUCUACAUUAGCUCAUAUACAUGGAUGGAAGCACCAGUGCUUUGCUAUUGCCCAUGUUUAAUACACUCACACACACUAGCACACACAUGCAUUUCCAUUAUCCAGCUGUUGUUAAACACAGUAUUGCGUCUAUGCGCACACCGGUUGGUGCCGUCCCCGUAGAGUUGUGUACACAGUCAAAAUCGUCCGCAGAGAUCGUUUGGACGAGAGAGACUUUUCAAGGUGCGAAACACAAUCAGUUCCAUCUGGUUCCAUCGUGGAGGUCCACGGAAAUAUCAAACCGCUAGAAUUUUCCUACAAAUGGGGCCUUACUUUGGGAGUUUUGGCCUUUACUCUCGAGGAUUCUGAGUGAAUAUUACUCACAUACACAUUUCAAAGUGCAAUUACAUACAACAGGUCACCCAUAAUAACACCAGCUUUUUAUUGCAAAUACAAGAAUCCAUGUCUUACUUGGAUUCAAUUCAAAAGAGAGAAGCCAAACGUCGGCAGUACGAGCUGACGCAUACUAAGGCCUUUUCAUCUCAGCUGCUCGCUGUUACCUCUGCACAUGCUCAUUAGUGUCCUUUUUUGAACUCUGAUAAUAUGAUACAAAUAAAAAUAGAUUUGUCAGAGCUUCAGCAAUAGGCAGGUUUAUGUUUAAAAGUGCACAAACCUGGACUGUGUUCAGAGAAACCAGCCAAAGGUAAUUCUCAUUAAUGCUGUUUUCCUCCAUUAGUUGGUUUGUCCAGAUAAACAGCUGCAAACCAGUGUAGCAGGAGAGACUGCAGUGAGGUCAUGGAAACGAAUGAGCAUCAGCCAAAUGUUGGUCCACAUCAAAUAUUAAAGGUUAUUUUAUGGUCUUUGGUUCAAAUUCUGGGUUCGUGACAUUUGGCCGAGUGGUUUUUACACCAUUGUGUAGUGGUUAACACAUUUGCCUCAGCUCUGCAGUUUGAGACUCAGAAGAGCCACAAAUUCAGCAUCAAGGAGUCACAGCUGGAGUUUUCCUAGUGUCAGGAAUAAAUGUGUCAGGUAGGGCAUCUGAUGUCAAAUUUGUGUCUAUUUGAACAACCUGGGGUCAAGUAUGCAGAUAAAAGCCUUGGUAGGUCACAGGAACAGUGGACUGGAGCUGAAAAGCUCCCAAAACUCAUACGUACUUCAGUCUAAGCACUGGUCCAUGAUAAUCUCCUUCUUCUUUCAACCGUGUCCUUUCAUGUAAAAGCAGUUUUACCCUGUUGCAGUACUGUGAGAUGAAUAUUCAGAGAAGUGAUGAAAAUCCUGGUCAGAACUACCAAAGUAAGCCUGUAACAUGAACCCACACAGCAUGACGAACAUCCGACAAAGAGUCUUAUCUACUAUUACCUACCAGAUUUGAGUGUUAGUAUUUACAUGGGGUUUGAAGCUGUUAGCUACUUUGUUGUGAGUCCAUUAACUAAUAAAUUAAAGCUUUAAAGCAGGUGCAGUUUAAGCUACAAAAGAACCGAGGACCUCCAAUAUGGCUGCCAGAGUAGGCUACCUGAAAGCCCUCUGAGAUCGUCAUUAUUAUGACGUCAUUAUUAUAGCGUCAUUAUUAUAGCGUCAUUAUUAUAGCGUCAUUAUUAUAGCGUCAUUAUUAUAGCGUCAUUAUUAUGACGUCAUUAUUAUAGCGUCAUAUUAUAGCGUCAUUAUUAUGACGUCAUUAUCACGGUUUUCUCCUAUAAUUCCACAAAUGAGAGAUAAACAGAAAUGAAAAACUUUAGCAUUCGUUGUUUUCUUUGAAGUGACUGCAUUACUUCUGUUUCAGAGAUGCUCGUGUGCAUGGAUUUAAU